AGACGAACCGUCCAAACGUUAUUCGGAAUCACUGGGCUUAAAGGGUGCGUAGGCGGCGCGGAAAGUUGGGUGUGAAAUACCUCGGCUCAACCGAGGAACUGCGCCCAAAACUUCCGUGCUCGAGGGAGAUAGAGGUGAGCGGAACUUAGGGUGGAGCGGUGAAAUGCGUUGAUAUCCUAAGGAACACCGGUGGCGAAAGCGGCUCACUGGAUCUCUUCUGACGCUGAGGCACGAAAGCUAGGGUAGCGAACGGGAUUAGAAACCCGUGUAGUCC
rnacentral:rRNA from 1 species